GACGAACGCUGGCGGCGUGCCUAAUACAUGCAAGUAGAACGCUGAAGAGAGGAGCUUGCUCUUCUUGGAUGAGUUGCGAACGGGUGAGUAACGCGUAGGUAACCUGCCUUGUAGCGGGGGAUAACUAUUGGAAACGAUAGCUAAUACCGCAUAACAAUGGAUGACACAUGUCAUUUAUUUGAAAGGGGCAAUUGCUCCACUACAAGAUGGACCUGCGUUGUAUUAGCUAGUAGGUGAGGUAAUGGCUCACCUAGGCGACGAUACAUAGCCGACCUGGGAGGGUGAUCGGCCACACUGGGACUGAGACACGGCCCAGACUCCUACGGGAGGCAGCAGUAGGGAAUCUUCGGCAAUGGGGGCAACCCUGACCGAGCAACGCCGCGUGAGUGAAGAAGGUUUUCGGAUCGUAAAGCUCUGUUGUAAGUCAAGAACGGGUGUGGGAGUGGAAAGUUCACACUGUGACGGUAGCUUACCAGAAAGGGACGGCUAACUACGUG
rnacentral:rRNA from 1 species